rnacentral:rRNA from 1 species
UACGGAGGGGGCUAGCGUUGUUCGGAAUUACUGGGCGUAAAGCGCGCGUAGGCGGAUCUGCAAGUCGGGGGUGAAAUCCCGAGGCUCAACCUCGGAACUGCCUUCGAUACUGCGGGUCUCGAGUCCGGGAGAGGUGAGUGGAAUUCCUAGUGUAGAGGUGAAAUUCGUAGAUAUUAGGAAGAACACCAGUGGCGAAGGCGGCUCACUGGCCCGGUACUGACGCUGAGGCGCGAAAGUGUGGGGAGCGAACAGG